CAGGCUGUGAUGACUCAGGAACCCUCACUGACUGUGUCCCCAGGAGGGACAGUCACUCUCACCUAUGGCUCCAGCACUGGAGCAGUCAAUGGGGGUCAUUAUCCUUACUGGUUCCAGCAGAAGCUUGGCCAAGCCCCCAGGACACUGAUUUAUCAUGCAAGCAACAAACACUCCUGGACCCCUGCCCAGUUCUCAGGCUCAGUCCUUGGGAGCAAAGCUGCCCAGACACUCUUGGGUGUGCAGCCCGAGAGGUGAAGCUGAGUACUACUGCUUACUGCACCAUAGUCGUGCUUGG